GCUAGCCCCAUUCUAGUCAAAUCCGCUGCCCGUGUUCCAAUCCAAUCCAAAUUAAAACACGUGUUUCCGCGCUUUCCGCAUUCGUGAAGUCGUCAAGGUUGCGCAAACUUCCGACUACUGCUUCGACGUUCCGAGACACCAAGGCGUGCCACAGGCCGGCGUCCAAGGGACUUGCCAAUGGUUCGCUCCCCUCCGAGGCAUUGGCGACGCGGGAAACGGCCGUUCGUCUUCUACGGUACUCUUCAUGUACAGAUCUGCGCCACUCCAGUCAAGCUCCUGCAACAAGGGAAAAGAAUGAGUCUUUACUUGCGACGGA